AGAGUUAGGCGUCAUCUGUGAACAAGUCUGUUAUUGGCUAGUUAAAUAGACCUGACUGUAACGUUAUAUUGGAGUAAUUAAUUGGUUAACAAGAACCACAGUUACGAUUGUUUGACGACGAAGUCGUGUACUAAAGCCACUAAAUGAUCCAAAAGCUCCGUGUCGAGGUUUGUGGGUCCAGCAGCUCCUAUAAUCUGCACUCUUUUGAAUAGCGAAAGAGGAUUGAGGUCAUCCUCCUGUAACCCGGAUAACUGAACUGACAGACGACUUUACAAAACAGUUUGCUGUUUUCCCACCAGGGGGCGCUAUAGAGCAGAAGAUGAAGUCUUUCUGGCCAGCUUAUGCUCCAUCAUUUGGUACUUUGUUGGAAGUGCUCAUACAAGAAGGACUAAAAGGGUGGCCAAACACGCUGUCCAGACAGUCUAAGUAAUAACAACGCAGAGCCAUCUCUGGCUGGUUCAGAGUUUGAGUGACACCUUCAAUAGCAGAACCCAAAAUGAACCCAAAAUCCUGUUCUGGGGCCAUGGUCGGCAAAACACUGAGCUUUUCGGUCUCAGAUGAACUGGCAUGACAUUCACGCCCGUAACUCCUGUUUGUUCAGAGGAGCAGCAGCCGUGCUAGCCUGGCACGGCUUCACAUUCCUUCAGAACUGGCUCAUUCUGGACCGGGCCCAAUAUAAAGUAUAUUUGAACAGAGAAGUACCUUACACAGGUGUUAAGCCUGAUACUGUUGCCAGUUCAACAGGAACGGGAUUCUCCUGAAAAGAAUCAACGAAAUGUAAACAUCUCACAGAUGUGUUUGACUCUACAAGGGUUACAUAGACACCAAAAUAACACCGUGCGCAACUCUAAAUAGCAAUGCUGAUUGUCGUAAAUUUAUUUUAACAUUUGCGAGGGCGGGGGUUGUUUGUUUUAGGCCAAACUAUUGUCUUCUAACACAGAAAUGAUUGUUGACUCAUGCCUAAGUUUUUAUUAAAAGAAUGCCUUGAACGCCAAAUGCUUUGAAUGCAGAAAUUAAAACCUUUUAUAGUUGUAAAGGCAGUUCCAUGGAUGACUGUAAAAAAUAUUUUUGAAGUUUUUUUUUCUUUAAGUUAUGAAAUGUUUAAACUAUCCUUUGGUAGUGCCUCUUCCUGUUUUA